rnacentral:rRNA from 1 species
GACGAACGCUGGCGGCGUGCUUAACACAUGCAAGUCGAACGGAAAGGCCCUGCUUUUGUGGGGUGCUCGAGUGGCGAACGGGUGAGUAACACGUGAGUAACCUGCCCUUGACUUUGGGAUAACUUCAGGAAACUGGGGCUAAUACCGGAUAGGAGCUCCUGCUGCAUGGUGGGGGUUGGAAAGUUUCGGCGGUUGGGGAUGGACUCGCGGCUUAUCAGCUUGUUGGUGGGGUAGUGGCUUACCAAGGCUUUGACGGGUAGCCGGCCUGAGAGGGUGACCGGCGACAUAGGGACUGGGAUACCGCCCAGACUGCUGCGGGAGGUAGAAGUGGGAGAUAUUGUGCAAUGGGGGGAAGCAUGAUGCAGCAACGCCGCGUGCGGGCUGACGGCCUUCGGGUUGUAGACCGAUUUCGCCUGUGACGAAGCGUGAGUGCCGGUAAUGGGUAGAGAAGCACCGGCUAACUACGUG